rnacentral:other from 1 species
AUUAAAAUCGCCUAUAAUCCCUAUCAGGGAUUGAAAC